rnacentral:rRNA from 1 species
CACGUAGGCACCAAGCGUUGUCCGGAUUUAUUGGGCGUAAAGAGCUCGUAGGCGGUUCAGUAAGUCGGGUGUGAAAACUCUGGGCUCAACCCAGAGACGCCACCCGAUACUGCUGUGACUUGAGUACGGUAGGGGAGUGGGGAAUUCCUGGUGUAGCGGUGAAAUGCGCAGAUAUCAGGAGGAACACCAAUGGCGAAGGCAGCUCGCUGGAACGGUACUGACGCUGAGGCGCGAAAGCGUGGGGAGCGAACAGG